AUGAGCCCGUUAUCCACAGCGUCGUGUAGCACAUGGGGAUCUGUGCGAGGUCGUUUUCCGUGGGAAUACGGGAGCGUUGAAAUUCCAUUUUUUGUAGUGUGUACGUAUGUGGUCGGCCUGGUAUGUGGGCCAGGCAAGCGAUCUCCGUCGUUUGUGUCCGUCGGCCGUCACCGGGAUUUUCCUGAUCCGUGGAUCAGGACGCUCGAUGUGGUCUUGGUCCAUAGACCAGGAAAUUUGCUUUUCCUCCUCAGGCCGGUACGCUGUUUCUGGAGGCGAGUUCGUGCCCAGGGGAAGGGCUCAAUUUCUCGGCGAUGA
rnacentral:rRNA from 1 species